rnacentral:lncRNA from 1 species
AAGUUUUUCGUAGUAAUUUUUUGACUGAUUGGCCUAAAUUUCUGUUUUUUACAUCUUUGAAAUGUCUGCUGUUCAUCUAUAAUGAAAUUUAUUUGAUAAAUAUUAUAUAAAGCUGCAGUUAUUUGGUUUUAAAUAGAUGUGUAAAAACGGCGAAUAUGUGUCCCCCAUUGACAAAACAUCAGGAAAUUUCAAACACCCUUUAAUCUAACUUUACAGGUGACUAUUUUCUAAACAACAUGUUUUCAAGCUUAGGAAUGUUUUGCAUUUAAAGUUAUCUUCAUAUAGAAAUAUCAGUAUACUUCAAAAACAUAUAGACCUGAACAUAAACUGC